UACGGAGGGGGCGAGCGUUGUCCGAAGUUACUGGGCGUAAAGGGCGCGUAGGCGGGAAGCUAAGUCCGCUGUCAAAGCCCGGGGCUUAACCCCGGAAGGUCGGUGGAGACUGGUUUUCUUGAAGCUGCCAGGGGGAGAUGGAAUUACCGGUGUAGCGGUGAAAUGCGUAGAUAUCGGUAGGAACACCAGUGGCGAAGGCGAGUCUCUGGACAUUUCCUGACGCUGAGGCACGAAAGCCAGGGGAGCAAACGGG
rnacentral:rRNA from 1 species